UCCAUAUGUGACUGUAAGUCGCUUUGGAGAAAAGCGUCUGCUAAAUGGCAUAUU
rfam:Salmo salar isolate Sally breed double haploid chromosome ssa20, whole genome shotgun sequence.